rnacentral:lncRNA from 1 species
GCAGAACACAGCCCCACAACAACAACAAGGACGCAAACCACGGCUUUGCUAUUUUUAUUAAUAAAUAAGUGUAGGCAUAAGUUAUGCCAAAGAGUACAUAGCAAAUACACUACUUAACAGUAAUCCAAAUCAAUAACACCUUUCAUAAUCCAAACCAAUAACUUAACAUAAUUGAAAACAAGUCUACACGGUUAAAUUCCUAUAUAUGGUCCUUUCAAAAGCCACAAAAAUAGCAUCAUAUUGGAUACUUGUCCCAUUGCUCGUGAUUUGUGAAUCAGGAAUCGUCAUUUCCACCUCCAUUCCUAGCCUGCCUUUUUAGCCGAGUUCUCCACCUCCUCCAUAAACUACAUAAAUUGAGGAUAAAUAUUAGAGAGGGAAAACAUAUUUCACGAAUUAAAUAUGAAUGUUGCGUUUACUCACACGUGUAUAACGAGGGAAAUCAUGUGUUCUGCUUUGUCGAAGAAAAUUGUUGUCUACUGCGCGUGUUGUAACAUUUUAUAACUACAUCCCUCAACUUUCAUAUGUGCUCAUGUGAUGGUAGUACAUAAGAUUCCAUGAAGGUAUCAUAUCUAUUAAUAAGAUUACUUCUUUGCAACCUGGUGGUUACAAGUUCUAGCAACGGACACAGCCUCACCAAGAGAUUCAGGUAAAAGCCACUUUAUAUUCUGUUAUAUAGUUAACCUUUAAGCCACAACUCUAGAAAUGAAAAAGAAAAAUAUACAAUUAUCUCUCUCACCCCUUAAAUAGCCUGCUUAAUUUUAAGAGGCAGAUCGAGUGUCCAAGAAUGAGUAACU